rnacentral:rRNA from 1 species
GACGAACGCUGGCGGCGUGCCUAAUACAUGCAAGUCGAACGCAGUGGGGACGGGUGCGUAACACAUGGGUAACCUCCCAUCAGAGGGGAUAAAACUUGGAAACAGGUGCUAAAACCGAUACUGAUGGAUGGACCCUCGGUGCAUUAGCUAGUUGGUGAGGUAACGGCUCACCAAGGCCACGAUACAUAGCCGACCUGAUGGGGGGAUCGGCCACACUGGGACUGAGACACGGCCCAGACUCCUACGGGAGGCAGCAGUAGGGAAUCUUCGGCAAUGGACGAAAGUCUGACCGAGCAACGCCGCGUGAGUGAAGAAGGGUUUCGGAUCGUAAAACUCUGUUGUUAGAGAAGCGGUAUCUAACCAGAAAGCCACGGCUAACUACGUGCCAGCAGCCGCGGUAAUUC